rnacentral:lncRNA from 1 species
GUUGUUCCUGCUUUUGAGUGACUUGGCUGCUUUUGUUUUACUUCUGCUACAUUUUUGUCUUAAAUGAUUGCCAUAAAAAAUAAGUGCACAUUAUUGUUACAGCAACGAGAGCGUAAGAGAGCGGAGGAGAGUGCCUAAGAGAGAGAGAGAGAGAGCGAGCAACAGAGAGUGGCACUUUACAGUUAUCCCAUACGCGUAGUGUAACAAAUGAUUUUCACAGCAUUUUUGCUUUAUGAGCUUUUUAGAGCACGCACGGAACGGGAACAGCCAGCCAGCAAGAAGAAAACUCUCAAGUGAUUUACAUGGCUUACUUUGCGGAAAUGCAAUAAAAAGAUAGCAGCAGCUACUCCCACUCACCCGACAGUCGGCACACACUCGUCCGGGUCCACAUCAAUCUGAGGAAUUUGGCAAAGCAGAACAUGAAAAUAAGAUUUCAAUGGGGUGAUCUACUCAUAAAAAAUAAACAUAUACUUGGGCCAUUUGCGGCCAGCAACAGCGUCUGUAGAGCUAACAGAGCCUCAAAGCAAGCAAACAGAGUGCGCAGAGUUAACAGAGGCAAUAGCAGCGCCAAUAACAGUGGCAGAGAGUGAGCAACGAUCGAUGCUAACAUUAUGUGGGAAGCAAACAGAGUCUGUAGAGUUAACAGAGCCCAUGGACAGCACCAAUAACAGUGGCAGAGAUUCAGUGAAUUUGGGUCGAAAUGAGGGUAGAAAUAAAAAUAGUUAAAUGAAACUGCAGUUAGUUUUUGUGUGUUUAAAUUUGGAAUUAAUUUCUAACUGCCUGUCAACUGCAGCGUAUCCAAGAUCUGAGUAAGC